rnacentral:rRNA from 1 species
AGCCCCGUAUACAUGCAUGUCGCAGCACCAGGAGGCCUGCUUGCUCCAGGAUUCUCCGAUGAAACGACUGACAGGGCUGACUGCGCUGCCUGUGGUUGGGGGACAACCUUUCGAAAGCAGCGGUAUCACCUCAUUAGUCCUACGGGAGAAAGCAGGGGACCUUCGGGCCUUGCGCUAUCAAAUGAGCCUAGGUCGGAUUAGCUAGUAGGUGAGGUAAUGGCUCACCUAGGCGACGAUCCGUAACUGGUCUGAGAGGAUGAUCAGUCACACUGGAACUGAGACACGGUCCAGACUCCUACGGGAGGCAGCAGUGGGGAAUAUUGGACAAUGGGCGAAAGCCUGAUCCAGCCAUGCCGCGUGUGUGAAGAAGGUCUUCGGAUUGUAAAGCACUUUAAGUUGGGAGGAAGGGCAGUAAGUUAAUACCUUGCUGUUUUGACGUUACCGACAGAAUAAGCACCGGCUAACUCUGUGCCAGCAGCCGCGGUAAUACAGAGGGUGCAAGCGUUAAUCGGAAUUACUGGGCGUAAAGCGCGCGUAGGUGGUUCGUUAAGAUGGAUGUGAAAUCCCCGGGCUCAACCUGGGAACUGCAUCCAAAACUGGCUAACUAGAGUAUGGUAGAGGGUGGUGGAAUUUCCUGUGUAGCGGUGAAAUGCGUAGAUAUAGGAAGGAACACCAGUGGCGAAGGCGACCACCUGGACUGAUACUGACACUGAGGUGCGAAAGCGUGGGGAGCAAACAGGAUUAUAUACCCUGGUAGUCCACGCCGUACACGAUGUCAACUACCCGUUGGAAUCCUUGAGAUUUUAGUGGCGCAGCUAACGCAUUAAGUUGACCGCCUGGGGAGUACGGCCGCAAGGUUAAAACUCACAUGAAUUGACGGGGGCCCGCACAAGCGGUGGAGCAUGUGUUUUAUUUCUAAGCAACGCGAAAAACCUUACCUGUUCUUGACAUGUUCAGAACUUUCCAGAGAUGCAUUGAUGCCUUCGGGACUCUGACACAGGUACUGCAUGGCUGUCU